GACGAACGCUGGCGGCGCGCCUAACACAUGCAAGUCGAACGAGCGAGAGAGAGCUUGCUUUCUUGAGCGAGUGGCGAACGGGUGAGUAACGCGUGAGGAACCUGCCUCAAAGAGGGGGACAACAGUUGGAAACGACUGCUAAUACCGCAUAAGCCCACGGUGCCGCAUGGCACAGUGGGAAAAGGAGCAAUCCGCUUUGAGAUGGCCUCGCGUCCGAUUGGCUAGUUGGUGAGGUAACGGCCCACCAAGGCGACGAUCGGUAGCCGGACUGAGAAGUUGAACAGCCACAUUGGAGCUAAGACACGGCCCAGACUCCUACGGGAGGCAGGAGUGGGGAGUAGUGCACAAUGGGGGGAACCCUGAUGCAGCGGCGCCGCGUGGAGGAAGAAGGGCUGCGGAUUGUAAGCUCCUGUUGUUGGAGCAGAUAAUGACGGUACCCAAUAAGGAAGUAACGGCUAACUACGUG
rnacentral:rRNA from 1 species